rnacentral:lncRNA from 1 species
GGAGCACUAGGUGCGGGCAGCAUGCCCAAGAAUUGCGUAUGCACUAAUAAAGCUCCUCAACAUACAUGUCAGUGCAUGGUAACUUGUAAAUGAUAAUAAAUGUAUGUAAUUUUUUGUUUCGUAUAAUAUUGUCAUAAUGAAUAAAAUAAUACAGUUGCAAUCAUAUUUGAUCUAAUAAGAUAAUACAAUUAAUAAAAAUGUUCUUUCUUUUUUUUCUUAUUAUAAAUUUGUUAUCCCGUG